rnacentral:rRNA from 1 species
CAAUAGCGUAUAUUAAAGUUGUUGCAGUUAAAAAGCUCGUAGUCGGAUUUCUGGUUGAAGCGACCGGUCGGGCGUUGAUUCGUCUGCACUGGAGUCGGUUUUGGCCAUCCUCUAGGAAAGUGCGUCUGGUAUUAAGUUAUCGGGCGUAUGAUCCUGGUCUUUUACUGUGAAAAAAUUAGAGUGUUUAAAGCAGGCCUUCGCCUUGAAUACAUUAGCAUGGAAUAAUAAGAUAGGACUUUGGUCUAUUUUGUUGGUUUGCAGACCGAAGUAAUGAUUAAUAGGGAUAGUUGGGGGUAUUUAUAUUCCGAUGUCAGAGGUGAAAUUCUUAGAUUUUCGGAAGAUAAACUUAUGCGAAAGCAUUUACCAAGGAUGUUUUCAUUA